GUGUCCUACGGGAGGCAGCAGUGGGGAAUAUUGCGCAAUGGGCGAAAGCCUGACGCAGCGACGCCGCGUGAGGGACGACUGCCCUAUGGGUUGUAAACCUCUUUUAUAAGGGAAGAAUAAAUGCUACGUGUAGCAUGAUGCCUGUACCUUAUGAAUAAGCAUCGGCUAACUCCGUGCCAGCAGCCGCGGUAAUACGGAGGAUGCGAGCGUUAUCCGGAUUUAUUGGGUUUAAAGGGUGCGUAGGCGGACUGGAAAGUCAGCGGUAAAAUCGAGAGGCUCAACCUCUUUCCGCCGUUGAAACUGUC
rnacentral:rRNA from 1 species